CUGUCUGAUCAGCCAGGUGUCCCCUCCCUCCUGAAGCUGUGAGCUCUGUCAAAGUAGGAGCUGUGAGCUCCCACUCUGAUAGAGGAGGAUCGCUCUUUGAUGGAGGGUAUAUGAGUAGCUGCACUCCCCUGUUAGAACCUCCAAACAGGCUCUCAAGUGCUUUCUAAUUUCACGUCCCACCUUGGACUUUCUGAUUACUCCCUACCUUUUUCCAAGUGGCCAGGCAGCCCUGCUUCAAGAA
rfam:Chlorocebus sabaeus isolate 1994-021 chromosome 10, whole genome shotgun sequence.